UGAGUAACACGUAUCCAACCUGCCGUCUACUCUUGGACAGCCUUCUGAAAGGAAGAUUAAUACAAGAUGGCAUCAUGAGUCCGCAUGUUCACAUGAUUAAAGGUAUUCCGGUAGACGAUGGGGAUGCGUUCCAUUAGAUAGUAGGCGGGGUAACGGCCCACCUAGUCUUCGAUGGAUAGGGGUUCUGAGAGGAAGGUCCCCCACAUUGGAACUGAGACACGAUCCAA
rnacentral:rRNA from 1 species